rnacentral:rRNA from 1 species
GGUUAAGCGACUAAGCGUACACGGUGGAUGCCCUGGCAGUCAGAGGCGAUGAAGGACGUGCUAAUCUGCGAUAAGCGUCGGUAAGGUGAUAUGAACCGUUAUAACCGGCGAUUUCCGAAUGGGGAAACCCAGUGUGUUUCGACACACUAUCAUUAACUGAAUCCAUAGGUUAAUGAGGCGAACCGGGGGAACUGAAACAUCUAAGUACCCCGAGGAAAAGAAAUCAACCGAGAUUCCCCCAGUAGCGGCGAGCGAACGGGGAGGAGCCCAGAGCCUGAAUCAGUGUGUGUGUUAGUGGAAGCGUCUGGAAAGGCGCGCGAUACAGGGUGACAGCCCCGUACACAAAAAUGCACAUACUGUGAGCUCGAUGAGUAGGGCGGGACACGUGGUAUCCUGUCUGAAUAUGGGGGGACCAUCCUCCAAGGCUAAAUACUCCUGACUGACCGAUAGUGAACCAGUACCGUGAGGGAAAGGCGAAAAGAACCCCGGCGAGGGGAGUGAAAAAGAACCUGAAACCGUGUACGUACAAGCAGUGGGAGCCUCUUUAUGGGGUGACUGCGUACCUUUUGUAUAAUGGGUCAGCGACUUAUAUUCUGUAGCAAGGUUAACCGAAUAGGGGAGCCGAAGGGAAACCGAGUCUUAACUGGGCGUUAAGUUGCAGGGUAUAGACCCGAAACC